AGUGAACGCUGGCGGCAGGCCUAACACAUGCAAGUCGAGCGGCAGCGCGUCCGACCACCCUCGGGUGGUCGGAUGGCGGCGAGCGGCGGACGGGUGAGGAAUGCAUCGGAAUCUGCCUCGUUGUGGGGGAUAACGUAGGGAAACUUACGCUAAUACCGCAUACGACCUACGGGUGAAAGUGGGGGACCUUCGGGCCUCACGCGAUGAGAUGAGCCGAUGCCGGAUUAGCUAGUUGGCGGGGUAAAGGCCCACCAAGGCGACGAUCCGUAGCUGGUCUGAGAGGAUGACCAGCCACACUGGAACUGAGACACGGUCCAGACUCCUACGGGAGGCAGCAGUGGGGAAUUUUGGACAAUGGGCGCAAGCCUGAUCCAGCAAUGCCGCGUGCAGGAUGAAGGCCUUGGUUGUAAAC
rnacentral:rRNA from 1 species